AAUAAGUGCAGUUUUGCACUAUUUACGUUCAACGUUUGAUCGUUUGUCUUAUUUAAAAAAAUUUUAUGAUUAGUAUUUUUAUUGUUAUUAGAUGAUAAAAUAUAAAUAGUAUUUUAUGUGUGACUAAAUAUUUUUAAAUUUUUCACAAAUUUUUCAAAUAAGAUGAACGGUCAACGUUGAGCACGAAUAUCCACGGCUGCACUUAUU
rfam:Oryza glumipatula chromosome 2, whole genome shotgun sequence.